GCUUGCUCCUUGGGUGGCGAGUGGCGGACGGGUGAGGAAUACAUCGGAAUCUACUUUUUCGUGGGGGAUAACGUAGGGAAACUUACGCUAAUACCGCAUACGACCUACGGGUGAAAGCAGGGGACCUUCGGGCCUUGCGCGAUUGAAUGAGCCGAUGUCGGAUUAGCUAGUUGGCGGGGUAAAGGCCCACCAAGGCGACGAUCCGUAGCUGGUCUGAGAGGAUGAUCAGCCACACUGGAACUGAGACACGGUCCAGACUCCUACGGGAGGCAGCAGUGGGGAAUAUUGGACAAUGGGCGCAAGCCUGAUCCAGCCAUACCGCGUGGGUGAAGAAGGCCUUCGGGUUGUAAAGCCCUUUUGUUGGGAAAGAAAUCCAGCCGGCUAAUACCUGGUUGGGAUGGCGGUACCCAAAGAAUAAGCACCGGCUAACUUCGUGCCAGCAGCCGCGGUAAUACGAAGGGUGCAAGCGUUACUCGGAAUUACUGGGCGUAAAGCGUGCGUAGGUGGUUGUUUAAGUCUGUUGUGAAAGCCCUGGGCUCAACCUGGGAACUGCAGUGGAAACUGGACAACUAGAGUGUGGUAGAGGGUAGCGGAAUUCCCGGU
rnacentral:rRNA from 1 species